rnacentral:rRNA from 1 species
UACGGAGGAUCCAAGCGUUAUCCGGAUUUAUUGGGUUUAAAGGGUGCGUAGGCGGAAUGAUAAGUCAGUGGUGAAAGCCUGCAGCUUAACUGCAGAACUGCCAUUGAUACUGUCAAUCUUGAGUACAUUUGAUGUGGGCGGAAUGUGUCAUGUAGCGGUGAAAUGCUUAGAUAUGACACAGAACACCGAAUCGCGAAGGCAGCAUCACUAAA